rnacentral:rRNA from 1 species
UAGGAGCUCCUGCUGCAUGGUGGGGGUUGGAAAGUUUCGGCGGUUGGGGAUGGACUCGCGGCUUAUCAGCUUGUUGUGGGGGUAGUGGGCUUACCAAGGCUUUGACGGGUAGCCGGCCUGAGAGGGUGACCGGCCACAUUGGGACUGAGAUACGGCCCAGACUCCUACGGGAGGCAGCAGUGGGGAAUAUUGCACAAUGGGCGGAAGCCUGAUGCAGCAACGCCGCGUGCGGGAUGACGGCCUUCGGGUUGUAAACCGCUUUCGCCUGUGACGAAGCGUGAGUGACGGUAAUGGGUAAAGAAGCACCGGCUAACUACGUG